ACGGCAGCACGGGAGCAAUCCUGGUGGCGAGUGGCGAACGGGUGAGUAAUAUAUCGGAACGUGCCCAGUCGUGGGGGAUAACGCAGCGAAAGCUGUGCUAAUACCGCAUACGAUCUCUGGAUGAAAGCGGGGGACCUGCAAGGGCCUCGCGCGAUUGGAGCGGCCGAUAUCAGAUUAGCUAGUUGGCGGGGUAAAAGCCCACCAAGGCGACGAUCUGUAGCUGGUCUGAGAGGACGACCAGCCACACUGGAACUGAGACACGGUCCAGACUCCUACGGGAGGCAGCAGUGGGGAAUUUUGGACAAUGGGCGCAAGCCUGAUCCAGCAAUGCCGCGUGCAGGAUGAAGGCCUUCGGGUUGUAAACUGCUUUUGUACGGAACGAAACGGCUCUUUCUAAUAAAGAGGGCUAAUGACGGUACCGUAAGAAUAAGCACCGGCUAACUACGUGCCAGCAGCCGCGGUAAUACGUAGGGUGCGAGCGUUAAUCGGAAUUACUGGGCGUAAAGCGUGCGCAGGCGGUUUUAUAAGACAGAUGUGAAAUCCCCGGGCUCAACCUGGGACCUGCAUUUGUGACUGUAAGACUAGAGUACGGUAGAGGGGGAUGGAAUUCCGCGUGUAGCAGUGAAAUGCGUAGAUAUGCGGAGGAACACCGAUGGCGAAGGCAAUCCCCUGGACCUGUACUGACGCUCAUGCAC
rnacentral:rRNA from 1 species